rnacentral:lncRNA from 1 species
AGGGAUCUGUAGGAUGAACAUUUCCUUGAGCUCAUGAUGAGAAAGAAUUCACAUUCCCUCUAGCUAGAGUGUAGAGGCAUUAUCAACUAUAAGGGGCAUUUAGUAGGGAACCUAGAAUGACCACACAUUAGAAGUACGGCUAAAUUAAUUCUAGAACAAAGGCUACUUGAUCAACCAUCCAAAAGUUCCUGAAAAGGCAAAACACUCUAAAGAAAACAAUCCAACACUUACCUGUGCAAAAUUCAAAAUAUCAAGCAUCCAAUAAAAUUUUGCUGGACAUACAAAGAAGCAGGAAAGUGUGACCCAUAACCAGGAGAAAAAUUAGUCAAUAGGAAAGGGCCCAGAAAUAACAGUUCAGGAAAGAAGCAAAAAUCUUAAAAUGGCUAUUACAAAUACACUCAAAGAUGAAAAGGAAAACAUGAACAUGAUGCAGAGUGGAAUGAAAGAUACAAAAAAUAACCUGAAUGGAAUUUAUAAAGAGGAAAAAUAAAAUAUAUGAAAUGAAAAAUCCACUAAUAGCAGGGUAGACACUAGAAGAAAGGAUCAAUAGACAUGAAAACAUAGCAAUAUAAAUAAUUCAAAAUGAAAUGAAAAAAAUGAAAAAGAAUCAGUUCUCUGUAGAAAUAUACCAGUCUAGUGUAUGUGCACGUGGAGUCCAGAAGGAAAGGAGAAAGGGGGAUAACAGAAACUUUAUGUAAAGAAAUAAUAGGUGAAAAUUUUCCCAAAUUCGAUGAAACUAUGAACCCACAAAUCCAAGAAAGUCAAUGAACCAGAGGGAGAAUAAACCUAAACCUAAAGAAAGUCACGCCAAGGCAGAUCAUGAUCAAAUUACUGAAAAAGAAUGAAGAAGAGAAAAAAAAAUUUUUUUUUGAGACCCUUGCUCUGUCACCCAGGCUUGGCGUGCAGUGGCUCAAUCUCGGCUCACUGCAACCUGCAACUCCCAGGUUCAAGCGAUUCUCCUGCCUCAGGCUCCUGAGUAGCUGGGAUUACAGACACACACCACCAUGUCCAACCUUUUUUUGUAUUUUUAGUAGAGACAGGGUUUCACCAGGUUGGCCGGGCUGGUCUCGAACUCCUGACCUCAAGUGAUACACCUACCUUGGCCUCCCAAAGUGCUGGGAUUACAGGCAUGAGCCACCACACCAGGCCCCAGAAGAGAAAAUCUUAAAAGCAUUAUGCACAAAAGGACACAUCACAUACUGAGGAACAAAGUUAAGAAUUAUAGCAACAUUUUGUCAGAAACGGCAAGUCAAUGCUAUGAUAUCCUAAAAAUGCUGAAAACCUUUUCAGACAAAUGAAAGCUGAGGGAAUUCAUCACAAACAAAUCUGCAUUAUGAGAAAUAUUAGAGUAAGCUCUUCAGAUGCUUACAGACAGUGGCUGCUCCAGCUAUUUGAGAGGCUAAGGCAGGAGGAUUGCUUGAGGCCACUUCAACACCAGCCUGAGCAACAUAGCCUGUAUCUUAAAAAAAAAAAAAAAAAAAAAAAAAAAAUUAAAAUUAGCUAGGUGUGUUGGCAACAUAGCUAGCCUGUAUCUAAAAAAAAUCUUUUUUAGUUAGCUGAGUGCAGUGGCACACCUGUACUCCCAACUACUUGGCAGGCUGAGGUGGGAGGAUUGCUUAAGCCCAGGAGUUUGAGGCUGCAGUGAGUGGUGACUGCACACUGCACUCCAGCCUGUAUGACAGAGUGAGACCCUAUCUCUUAAAUAAAUAGAAUAAGUAAGCUCUGCAUACAAAAGGAACGUGAUACAAAUGGAAAUACAGAUCUACACAAAAUAACAGGGAGAAAAGUAAGUGGCUAAAUGUAAAAGAUAUUUCAUUUUAAACAUCUUUAAAAGAUAAUCUAGUGAAUUUUAUCAAACAAAGAGGAAUUAAUACCAGCCUUUCACAAACUCUUGCAAAAAACUGAGAGGAACCAUUUCCCAACAUAUUGUAUGAGGCUAGUAUUACCCUGGCACCAAAACCAAAGACAUCACAAGAAAAGAAAACUACUAACCAAUAUCUCACAAACAUAGACACAAAAAUUCUCAAUGAAGUACUAGCAAAGUAUUAAACACCAUGACUAAGUGGGAUUAAUUCCAGGAAUGCAAGAUUGGUUCAACAUAUGAAAGUCAAUGUCAUACACCAUAUUAGUAGAAUACAAAACACACGAUCAUCUGAAUAGAUGCAAAGAACAAAAUUUGACAAAACUCAACAGCGUUUCAUAAAAAAGUUCAUUAGAAACUCAGUGCCCAGGAUUUUUAUUGGGGCACCGUCUGCACAGAAUGUAGGCACACUCUGCCUAGCCUGUACCAAAAUGUCAGACUACCAGCAGGAGAACAGGUGUUCUGCAUAAAGCAUAUUGUUUGUAUUAACAGUUCAGGCAUAGUGAGCCACUGUUAUCAGAAACCUAGGUUUCUAGAGGCCACCCAAGAGUCAACCUUACAGGAAGGCCUUUCUAAGCAUAAACAUUUAUGCUUGCCAUGUUUAACUCUUCUGCACAGCAGGGGACCUACCCAAAAUAGCCAAAACAAUCUUGGAAAAAAGAACAAAUUUGGAAGACUCAUACUUCCUGAUUUCAGAACUUCUACAAAGGUAUAAUAAUCAAAACUAUGUUACACUGGCACAAGGAUAAACACAUCAAUCAGCUUAAUAAAAUUGAGAGUUCAGAAAUAAACCCUUAUAUUUAUGGCCAAUUAAUUUUCAACAAAGGGGCCAAGACGGUUCAAUGGGCAAAGCAUAGUCUUUUCAACAAAUGGUGCUGGAACAACUGGAUAGUCACAUGCAAAAGAGUGAAUGUGGACCCCUAUCUCACAUCACAUACAAAAGUUCAUUCAAAGUAAAUCUGAGACCUAACUGUAAGCAAGAAAACUAUAAAACACUUAGAAGGAAGAACAGGAGUAAGUCUUUAUGACCUCUGAUUAGACAAUGACUUCUCAGAUACACCAAAAGCACAGCAACACAAUAGAUUGGAAUUAAAGUUUCACAAAAUGUUUGUGCUUCAAAACACACCAUCAAGAAAGUGGAAUGACAACCCACAGAAUGGGAAAGACAUUUUAAAUCAUGUACUGAUAAGGGACUUAUAUACAGAAUAACGCUUACAACUCAAUAAUAAAAAGACAACCCCAAAUAGCCCAAUUUUAAAAUGAAUAAAUGACAUGAAUAGACAUUUGGCCAGAGAAGAUAUACAAAUGGACGAAUAAGCACAUGAAAACCAAAACCACAAUGAGGUACCACUUCCCACUCAUUAGGAUGGCAUAUAUGUCAUUGUCAUAUGCCACAUAAUGAUGUUUUGGUUAACAACAGACCACAUAUACAAUGGUGGUGCCAUAGAUUAUAAUGGAGCAUAUGUAGAAACCUGAUACAUGGCACUUGAUAUUGACACUGCAUAUUAAGUUGGGGAAAUGAUUGAUACUCAGUAAUGGUGCUGGGACAUUUGGUUUUCCAUAUGAAAAAUAUAUAAAUAAAAAAUGUAUAUACUAUCUAUGUUUGUGUAAGUAUACUCUAUGAUGUUUACACAAUGACAAGAUAGUCUUAACAAUGCAGACCAUAUCCCUGUCAUUAAACUACACAUGUCCCUCCCUCCCUCUCUCUCUCUCUGCUGAUGGGAACGUAAAAUGGUACAGCCACUGUGGAAAACAAAAUGUUGAACAUAGCGUUAUCAUAUGAUCCAGCAAUUCCAUGCUAGGUGUAUACCCAGGGAACUGAAAACAGGGAUUCAAACAGAUACUAGUAUACCAAUUUUUUGUUGUUGUUGUUGUUGUUGUUUUGAGACGGAGUCUCGCUCUGUCGCCCAGGCUGGAGUGCGGUGGUGCGAUCUCGGCUCACUGCAAGCUCCGCCUCAUGGGUUCACACCAUUCUCUUGCCUCAGCCUCCCGAGUAGCUGGGACUACAGGCGGCUGCCACCACGCCUGGCUAAUUUUUUGUAUUUUUAGUAGAGGUGGGAUUUCAUCGUGUUAGCCAGGCUGGUCUCGAUCUCCUGACCUCGUGAUCUGCCUGCUUCGGCCUCCCAAAGUGCUGGGAUUACAGGCGUGAGCCACUGUGUCCAGCCUGUAUACCAAUGUUUGUAGCCGCCUUAUUUACAAUAGUCAAAAGGUACAAACAACCCAGAUGUCCAACAGGCGAAUGGAUAAACAAAAUGUGAUAUAUACAUACAAUGAAAUAUUAUUUGGCCUUGAAAACAGUGAAAUUCUGAUACACACUGCAACAUGGAUGAACCUUGAAAAAAGGACAAGUAUUGUAUAUUAGUGUAUUCCUGAUUCCACUUGCAUGAGGUACCUAGAAUAGGCAAAUUCAUAGGGACAGAAAGGAGAAUAGAGGUUACCUGGAAAUGGGGGAAUGGGGAGUUAUUGUUUAAUGAAUACAGAAUUUCUGUUUGGGAUGAUGAACAUGUUCUGAAAAUAGACAGUAGGAAUGGUUAAUCCAUUGUGAAUGUACUUAAUUCAAUUGAAUUGUACACUUGAAAUGGUUUAAAUGGCAAAAUUAUUUUUAACAUUCCUCACAGCACCUAUAAACUGGCAAAUUUUAUGUUAUGUAUAUUUUACCACAUAAUUUAAAGAAAGACACAAUGGCAUACCACUUCACAACCCCUAGGAUGGCUAUAAUUAAAAAAAAAAAAAAGACAGUAACAAGCAUCAGGGAGAAGAAAUGGGGACCCUCAAACAUUGCCGUGGAAAUGUAAAAUGAUGCUGCCACUGUGGAAAACAGUUUGGCACUUCCUCAAAAUGUUAAAAAUAGAGUUUCCAUAUAGCCCAGCAAUUCCCAGCAAUACCCAAGAGACAUGAAAACCCACAUCUACACAGAGACUUGUAUAUCAGUGUUGAUAGCAGCACUGUUCAUAAUAGCCAAAAAGUAGAAAGAACCCAAUUUCUGUCAACCAAUAAGUAAAAUGUGGUAGAUCCAUUCAAUGGAAUAGUAUUCAGCAAACAAAACAAAACAAAACAAAAAUGCUAAGCAAAAAAAGGCUACAUAUUAUGUGAUUCAAUUAUAUGAAAUGUCCAAAGUAAGCAAAUGUAUAAAGGCAAAAAUAGAUUAGGGAUUGUCUGGGGCUGUAGAGGUUGCUGGGAAAUGGGGAGUGACUGCUAAUGGAUAUAGGAUUUCUUUUCUUUUUCUUUUUUUUUGAGAGACAGUCUUGCUCUGUGGCCAGGCUGCAGUGUAGUGGCACAAUCUCAGCUCACUGCAACCUCCAACUCCCUGGUUCAAGCUAUUCUUCUGCCUCAGCCUCCCGAGUUGCUGGGAUUACAGGCACAUGCCACCAUGCC